AUUGAACGCUGGCGGCAUGCUUUACACAUGCAAGUCGAACGGUAACAGGUUAAGCUGACGAGUGGCGAACGGGUGAGUAAUGCAUCGGAACGUGCCCGGUCGUGGGGGAUAACGCAGCGAAAGCUGCGCUAAUACCGCAUACGAUCUGAGGAUGAAAGCGUGGGACCGUAAGGCCUCGCGCGAUCGGAGCGGCCGAUGUCAGAUUAGGUAGUUGGUGGGGUAAAGGCUCACCAAGCCGACGAUCUGUAGCUGGUCUGAGAGGACGACCAGCCCCACUGGGACUGAGAAACGGCCCAGACUCCUACGGGAGGCAGCAGUGGGGAAUUUUGGACAAUGGGCGCAAGCCUGAUCCAGCAAUGCCGCGUGCAGGAAGAAGGCCUUCGGGUUGUAAACUGCUUUUGUACGGAGCGAAAAGGCUCUCUCUAAUACAGGGGGCUCAUGACGGUACCGUAGAAUAAGCACCGGCUAACUACGUGCCAGCCGCCGCGGUAA
rnacentral:rRNA from 1 species